AAGAAUAUUAGUCAAUGCUCGUAAGAGUGAACUAGCUAACUGAAAUCAUAGAAUUUUUUUAAGUUCAUGAUGUCGUAAGGGAAAAUAAUGAUAAUACCUUACUAUGAGUGUCGUCCAAAUCUGGUGCCAGAAGACUCGGUAAGACCAGAGACGCAAACGUUAAUCAUCAUAAACAGGCGUAAAGGGUUUGUAGGCAGCUUUUAUAAGAUUAAAAAAAUUAAUUUAAUUGAAAGCUAGAAUCAAAAAGAGGUUAUAGUGUAUAACGCCUAGAGGAGGGCUGAUAUCCAUAGAUCCUAGGCAGAAUACUUAGGGCGAAGGCCACUCUCCACUAAUGAUUGACGCUGAGAAACGAAGGUUAGGGUAGGAAAUAGGAUUAGAUACCCCGGUACUCCUUUCUGUAAACCGAUGAAUGGUAGUCAUUAGUUAAAUUAAAUAACUAGAGGCGAAGUUAACACAAUAACCAUUCCGCCUUGUGAGUACUACUGCAAAGUAGAAACAA
rnacentral:rRNA from 1 species